GAAUUGAAAAAGGUAUUUAAAUAUACCUUUCCGAAGAAACCAGAGGCCUUUCUUCUGGGCAUUGUAGGCCAAUUGGUGCCAAAGAAGGAUAGAACUUUUUUUAUGUAUGCAACAACAGAAGCAAGAAUACUCAUCACAAAGUAUUGGAAGACACAAGAUCUACCCACUCUGGAAGAAUGGCAGAUGAAGGUGAUUGACUACAUGGAACUGGCGGAAAUGACUGGCAGAAUCCGAGACCAGAGAGAAGAGACGGUGAAAGAAGACUGGAAGAAAUUUAAAGACUAUUUACAGAAAUAUUGUAAAAUUAAGGAAUCUUAGAAGGAUGUUGGAUAGAAACUAAGGGUUUUUUAGCUGUAAUGCUUUAAGAGAUAUGAAAAAGGGUUUGCAACUGGGUAAUUUCAAUGGUAAGGAUUUGCUGAAUCAACAAAUUGAACUGGAAUACAAAAAGGGAGGUAUGAGGAGGUCCGGGGAAAUAAGUAUAAGGAAGAUAGGCUAUGGAAAUUUAAUGUCCUUUUAAUUGUUUUAUUUGGUAUGUUUUCUUUUAUUUUUUACUUCUUUGGUUAUAUUUUUUUUUAAAAAACUUUAUUCUUGUUCUUUCUGUAUUUUGUAUUUUUUGUAUUAUUUUUUUUGAAACUUUAAUAAAUAUCAUUAAAAAAAAAAGGAAAAACAAUUGUGAGAAAAGCUUCACUACAGUGACUGCAGUUUCUAAUUUUGUGUUAUGCCAUGUCCCCCACAGCAGCUAUUUUGUGGCAGGUGCCCACUGCACAUUCUGAAAAUUCUGAAACUGGUCCAAACAGUUUGGUGACCUCUGACCAAGAGCAAUGGAUAAUUUUGAGUUUUAGUGCCUCCUGAUGUUCCCUAGGUGUCUCUGUGCAGCCUAGGCCACUUUCUUAUUUAUGUGUUUAUUAUUUAUUCCCCUGCUCACCAUUCAGUUUGUAAAUCUGGUCAGCUAACCAUGCUGUUUCCCCCCAAAUAGUAGAAAAUUGCUUUGUUAAUUCCAAGCCCAAGUGAGAGUGUGAUGGGGUCUGGAUUCUGCCCCCAAACCCUUUACCUGGAUGAUGCUUCAGCAGCAUGAAGGAUCAGAGAGGCCUGUCUUUUAAUUCAAUCACUGCAGUCAGUUCCUUUUGCUUUAUCCUUUUUCUCUGCUUAUAUGAAUGCAUAUCAUUGCUGCUAUUCAUCCUGCAGAUCAAAUCCCAAGAAACAUAAGGAAGAAGCAUGUGUGUCCAAAUAAUACAAGAUUUUCUGCAUCCAUCUCCUACUUUGGGCAAGGUUUGCUAUGUCGUAUGCUUGAUGUCUUCCAUUUAUGCUGAAAGCUUUAUUGUCCACCAAUUCUGGAAAUUGAGAGGUGUUCCAAAUAUUUCCCCUGAAUAGGUAUCUCUGUGUGUCCACAUUAAGAAGUUCCGCAAGGCUUUUUCUAUAUGCUUUGUACUUGCUAAUCUGCAUACCAGUUUGCUAAAGUGAAAUGCAACUUGGGAGUAAUCGCAAACCAGUGCAGUGAUGACUGCAUAUAUCUGUUACUAAUUAAAGGGGAAAGAAUGAUAAAACCUGGGGAAACACUGCAGUUUAUGAGUCAACCUAUUUUGGACUCGAGUCACAGACAGUUAUCUAAUUCUGUUAUCACUGGUAAUUCAACAAGGGUUUUGCAUCAUAUCUAUGAAAUGCAAUAAAUACAUUCAUUAAAAAAAAUUAUUUUUGCAGCAUGUUCAUACCAUUCCGUGACUGAAGUUUGCACUGAAGUCUACAUUUGGGCUCAUCCAAAGCACUCUCCUCCUUUGUGCCAUUUUCACACACAGAGCAGUGUGGCUGCUUACAGUCCUGCUCAAUAAAUGUUAAUCUUAUAGGUGUCUUCAUGGUUCAUCACUGUCCUGGGGACAUUUCUUAUCCACUCUGCCAGAAGUUAUAUUUCCUUGUUGUUUUCAUUCUGGCCUUUAUUAACGCACUGCUAGACAUGUCUGUCAAAACUCUGCUUCUGGCUCUGUUAUAAAUAGAUCAGACUAGGGAUUCUAUGUUGGAUUAGUUUGGUUAAAAAGAAAAACAGAUAUGGUGAAAUAAAAAGAGGAUUCCCUCGAUGCCUAGAUUCAGGUUUGGGGGCAAGGACUCUUUGGUCGAACAGCCCCAGCAGAGACUUAAAAUCACAAAAUAUGCAGCAAAGUAAAGAAUGGAAAUAUAGGCUGUUAGACCUUCAAACUAUCCCCUUCUAAGUUGCUUCCAAAGUUCCCAACUUCCCUUAGCGUACAAAGAGACCACACAUUUGGUAAGUUAAAAAUGGUUUACUUACAAACUCAUCAAAGGCCAGAUUCAUGUGUUUUUCCAUACGACAGCAAGAAAAUACAGGCAGUAUAUCUUAGGCUCCAAAAUGGUGAGAGUUUCCAAAUUAUUUGUAUAGAAACACAAGGAUGGCUUGCUUAAGCCACCCGAUCGAAGCUUGGAGCAUCCAAUUUAGACCACCUUACUGGUAGAGUUCAUAUGGUAGAAAGUGAAAGUACAGAGUUUGGCAAGCCUUCCUUCCAAGGUGUUCUUUCACUUUCACUCCAGAGGGACAAAUAAUAUGUUUAAAGGCAAUAUAAUCCACUUCAUGAUGCUAGAGGUCCUGUUUAUUGAUGAGAGAAAGUGUGGCUUCUCCCUCUUAAUUGCUAGUGCCCAUAUUUUUGCAUUAAUUUCCCCAUAUUUUGUAAAGCCAGUAAGGUGAGCCUACAGAAUUUGUGGCACCCAAACAGCCAGCCAGCCAGCCAGCCAGCAUUCUGUGAUUCAGUUUAAUACUAAGUGUGAUUUCAGGUUAAGCCUGCAAAUAACCUUCUCUUAAAAGGCUACAAUUCUACAUACACAAGUCCAGCAGCAAGUGCAACUGAACACAAUAGGCCUAAAUCCCAAGUGUAAGUUUGGAUUGCACAACUAUUGCAACCCGCAACCAUUGCAACUAUUUCAUCCAUCCUCCUUUUCCCCCUCAGCAGAUGGCCUGAAUAAGUCCUGUGAACUUGAGUAAAAGGUAAAGGUAAAGGGACCCCUAACCAUUAGGUCCAGUCGUGGACGACUCUAUGGUUGCAGCGCUCAUCUCGCUUUAUUGGCCGAGGGAGCAGGCGUACAGCUUCCGGGUCAUGUGGCCACCAUGACUAAGCCACUUCUGGUGAACCAGAGCAGUGCAUGGAUUCGCCGUUUACCUUCCCGCCGGAGCGGUACCUAUCUACUUGCACUUUGACAUGCUUUCAAACUGCUAGGUUGGCAGGAGCAGGGACCGAGCAAUGGGAGCUUACCCUGUCGCGGCGAUUCAAACCGCUGACCUUUUGAUUGGCAAGCCCUAGGCUCAGUGGUUAGGCCACAGCGCCACCCGCGUGAACUUGAGUAUUUUCUCCCUACUUUGUGAUGUUUCCUUUAGACGCACCAAAGGUCUAGUACUACUAUUGAUGUUCACUGCUUGGAUCUAGCACUGAAAAGGCAUACCAAGUGAUUCCCACAAACAUGUCUUACUCACUUUCCUGCCCCCACAAUGUUUUCAAAUACUCCUUCUAGCAUGCAAGUCUGAGUCUCGCCAGUAGUGAAAAGUGGGUUGGUCUUGCACUGCCCCCUCAAUAGCUGCCUUAUGACCCCUUUCAUCUUGCGAACCUAAAAUGGAAGUGCAAUAUCUAAGAAUGCUACAACUGGUCAUGGGAUGCUUGGAUCAUGACAUACAACUCAAGGUAUUGUGACCACAAAGGGAACAUCCUCAAGCAUGCAGAUGCUAGGCGUCAUUGCAAAUCCGUUGACGGUGGCUUCAGUACAUGGUAUUUAUGGUUCACAAUAGCCUGGUUGGCUUAAAGCAAAAGGUUUGUUGAUGGAACAAGGUCAAGUACGAAAUGAUUUGCAAACUGCUUUGAGGUUUUAGUACAGUCAAAAGGUAUAUUAUUUUGUGAAAUAAAUAAAUGCACAGAAUAGUGCAUUUGCAGGAUAGUCAUCUAGCAUGGUGCUUGUACUUCUUGUACCUUAAUUUCUUGUACCUUUUCAAUGCAGAGCUAUGGCAAUUGUUCCGUCAGCAUUUCCACUUGCCAGACUGAACAGUCCCCCUCUCCUUGACCUGCACACUGCUGUGGGGGUGGUUCUCCUUUCUGACCCCUCCCAGAGCCACUUUGGGGAUGGGUGAGAGGAUGGGCAGGGAAAGCCCUGUUGUGCUAGUGGAAGUCCUUGAACAGGGUUAAUAAUAAUAAUUUUAUUACCGGUAUUUAUACUCUGUCCAUCUAGCUAGUUGCCCCAGCCACUCUGGGCAGCUUCCAAUACAUAUAGAAAACAUCAAAAACUUCCUGAUACAGGGCUGCCUCCAGAUGUCUUCUAAAAGUUGUGUAGUUCUUUAUCUCCUUAACAUCUGAUGGGAGGGCAUCCACAGGGAGGGUGCCACUACCGAAAAGGCCCUUUGCCUAGUUCCCUGUAACUUCACUUCUCACAGUGAGGGAACUGCCAGAAGGCCCUUGGAGCUGGACUUUAGUGUCUAGGCAGAAAGAUGUGAGAGGAGAUGCUUCUUCAGGUAUACAGGGACAACGCUGUUUAGGGCUUUAAAGGUCAAUACCAACACUUUGAAUUGUGCUCAGAAACGUACUGAGAGCCAGUGUAGAUCCUUUAGGACUGGUGUUAUAUGGCCCCAGCAGCCACUCCCAAUCAGCAGUCUAGCUGCCACAUUCUGGAUUAGUUGCAGUUUCCAAGUCACUUUCAAAGGUAGUCCCAUGUAGAGUGCAUUGCAGUAGUCCAAGUGGGAGGUAACCAGAACUGUACCACUCUGGCGAGGUAGGGUCUCAGACAGUGUACCAGAUGGAGCUGGUAAACAGCUGUCCUGAACACAGAAGUGACCUGUGCCUCCAUGAACAGCUGUGAAUCUGCUAGCAAUACUCAUUCAUUGAAUCUGCUCCAUUGUGUUUAUAUAUUUCCCCCCCUGUAUCUUUUUAUCUGUUGUAAGCCAUUUUGAGAUCUUCUGAUAGUAAGUGGUCUUUAAACGG